rnacentral:rRNA from 1 species
UACGGGGGGGGCAAGCGUUGUUCGGAAUUACUGGGCGUAAAGGGCUCGUAGGCGGCCAACUAAGUCGGAUGUGAAAUCCCCAGGCUUAACCUGGGAACUGCAUCCGAUACUGGAUGGCUUGAAUCCGGGAGAGGGAUGCAGAAUUCCAGGUGUAGCGGUGAAAUGCGUAGAUAUCUGGAGGAAUACCGGUGGCGAAGGCGGCAUCCUGGGACCAAUACUGACGCUCAUGUGCGAAAAGCGUGGGGGAGCAAACAGG